rnacentral:rRNA from 1 species
GAACGCUGGCGGCGUGCUUAACACAUGCAAGUCGAACGGAAAGGCCCUGCUUUUGUGGGGUGCUCGAGUGGCGAACGGGUGAGUAACACGUGAGUAACCUGCCCUUGACUUUGGGAUAACUUCAGGAAACUGGGGCUAAUACCGGAUAGGAGCUCCUGCUGCAUGGUGGGGGUUGGAAAGUUUCGGCGGUUGGGGAUGGACUCGCGGCUUAUCAGCUUGUUGGUGGGGUAGUGGCUUACCAAGGCUUUGACGGGUAGCCGGCCUGAGAGGGUGACCGGCCACAUUGGGACUGAGAUACGGCCCAGACUCCUACGGGAGGCAGCAGUGGGGAAUAUUGCACAAUGGGCGGAAGCCUGAUGCAGCAACGCCGCGUGCGGGAUGACGGCCUUCGGGUUGUAAACCGCUUUCGCCUGUGACGAAGCGUGAGUGACGGUAAUGGGUAAAGAAGCACCGGCUAACUACGUGCCAGCAGCCGCGGUGAUACGUAGGGUGCGAGCGUUGUCCGGAUUUAUUGGGCGUAAAGGGCUCGUAGGUGGUUGAUCGCGUCGGAAGUGUAAUCUUGGGGCUUAACCCUGAGCGUGCUUUCGAUACGGGUUGACUUGAGGAAGGUAGGGGAGAAUGGAAUUCCUGGUGGAGCGGUGGAAUGCGCAGAUAUCAGGAGGAACACCAGUGGCGAAGGCGGUUCUCUGGGCCUUUCCUGACGCUGAGGAGCGAAAGCGUGGGGAGCGAACAGGCUUAGAUACCCUGGUAGUCCACGCUGUAAACGGUGGGUACUAGGUGUGGGGUCCAUUCCACGGGUUCCGUGCCGUAGCUAACGCUUUAAGUACCCCGCCUGGGGAGUACGGCCGCAAGGCUAAAACUCAAAGGAAUUGACGGGGCCCCGCACAAGCGGCGGAGCAUGCGGAUUAAUUCGAUGCAACGCGUAGAACCUUACCUGGGUUUGACAUGGAUCGGGAGUGCUCAGAGAUGGGUGUGCCUCUUUUGGGGUCGGUUCACAGGUGGUGCAUGGCUGUCGUCAGCUCGUGUCGUGAGAUGUUGGGUUAAGUCCCGCAACGAGCGCAACCCUUGUUCACUGUUGCCAGCACGUUAUGGUGGGGACUCAGUGGAGACCGCCGGGGUCAACUCGGAGGAAGGUGGGGAUGACGUCAAGUCAUCAUGCCCCUUAUGUCCAGGGCUUCACGCAUGCUACAAUGGCUGGUACAGAGAGUGGCGAGCCUGUGAGGGUGAGCGAAUCUCGGAAAGCCGGUCUCAGUUCGGAUUGGGGUCUGCAACUCGACCUCAUGAAGUCGGAGUCGCUAGUAAUCGCAGAUCAGCAACGCUGCGGUGAAUACGUUCCCGGGGCUUGUACACACCGCCCGUCAAGUCAUGAAAGUUGGUAACACCCGAAGCCGGUGGCCUAACCGUUGUGGGGGAGCCGUCGAAGGUGGGACUGGUGAUUAGG